rnacentral:tRNA from 1 species
GCCUGGGUGGCUCAGUCGGUUGAGCGUCCGACUUUGGCUCAGGUCAUGAUCUCACAGUUCGUGGGUUCGAGCCCCGCGUCGGGCU